GGGAGUCUACAAGCCAAAGCUUCUAUUAGAGGAGUCCCCCACUUUAGUAUCCUUUCCUUGUUCCAUCACUGGCUGGGAGCAUUGCUGGGAAGGGGCAGCUGUGGGCACAGCUUCAGCAGACGUAAAUGUUCAUGCCUGCCAGCUCUGAAGAGAGCAGUGAAUGUCCCAGCACAGCGCUCAAGCUCUGAUAAGGGACAGACUGCCUCCUCACGUGGGUCCCU
rnacentral:lncRNA from 1 species